GACGGAGGAGGCAAGCGUUAUCCGGAAUUAUUGGGCGUAAAGCGUCCGUAGGUGGUUAUUCAAGUCUUUUGUUAAAUAGUGGAGCUCAACUCCAUAGAGGCGGAAGAAACUGAGUAACUUGAGUGCGGUAGGGGUAGAGGGAAUUCCAGGUGUAGCGGUGAAAUGCGUAGAUAUCUGGAAGAACACCAGUGGCGAAGGCGCUCUAUUGGGCCGUAACUGACACUGAGGGACGAAAGCUAGGGGAGCGAAAGGG
rnacentral:rRNA from 1 species